CAAUAGCGUAUAUUAAAGUUGUUGCAGUUAAAAAGCUCGUAGUUGAAUUUUUGCUUGCCGCCGAUGUCGGAACUUCCGUACGUUCGGCGGCGUGCAUCCUUGGGUGGAACCUGUGUGGCAUUAGGUUGUCGUGCAGGGGAUGCUCAUCGUUUACUGUGAAAAAAUUAGAGUGUUCAAAGCAGGCUUACGCCGUUGAAUAUAUUAGCAUGGAAUAAUAAGAUAGGACCUUGGUACUAUUUUGUUGGUUUGCGCACCGAGGUAAUGAUUAACAGGGACAGUUGGGGGUAUUCGUAUUCCAUUGUCAGAGGUGAAAUUCUUGGAUUUCUGGAAGACGAACUACUGAGAAAGCAUUUACCAAGGAUGUUUUCAUUAA
rnacentral:rRNA from 1 species